GGAGGCAGGGACCUAUUGCAUAGCCUACAGCAGCCUUGGGUUGUUCCUAAGCAGGAGCUGUGGGUAGGGGUCCGUUUCCCUUAUGAUUAUUGUUGUGUUUGGUCCCAUCUGUGGCCUGUGGAAAUUCCCGGGCCAGGGAUUGAAUCCGAGCUGCAGCUGCAACCUACACCACAGCUGGGGCAACACCAGAUCCUUAACCUACUGUGCCACAGCAGGAACUCCUGGGUUUCCCUUAGAAGGGGCUCUGGGGGCAGCAGGCACCAUGCUGAAGGUUGAUGGGCAUGUUCAUGGAGCGACACAUCAAUCGUAGGUUUGGCACGUAACCAGAUGAGAGACUUGUGUAUUAGCACAGCACAACUUUCGUGUCCAUUAUCUCAUCAGAUUCUCAGAAUGCCCUAUGAGGCAAUUGAAGGCAGGUGUAAUUAUUGCUUCCUGACAAGCAAGGAACCUGAGUCACACAGAGAGAUGAAGUGAUUGGCUUCUGAGUGCAAAGGACAUUAGUGGUUGAGCUCGGACUGGAAAGCAGGCAGGCUCUCUGUCUCCUUCCCCGAUGACUUUAUACUAGAUCAUAAGGAUGGUCUUUGGGGCUCCACCUCUAUGAGGUCAGAUGAUUUUCUGUCUCAAAAAAGGCAAGAAAUAUGUAUGUAGAUGUUUAUUGUGACAUUGUUUAUAGUAGCAAAAGACUGCAAAAAAAGUUGAAUUUCCACCAGAAGGGAUCUGGUUAGUGAUGUAUCCACAUCAAGACUACCACACAGAUUUUGAGAAGACUAAGACUAAAGAAAAAAGAAACCAAAUAAGGUAGAUGCAUUAGCACAAAUAUGGCAUGCUCUUCAGGAUAUAUUAUUCAAUGCAAAAAGCAAAAGCAGUGCUCACAUAUGUAUUAAGUUGUGAAAACAGGAGUUCCCUGGUGGCUUAGUGGGUCAAAGAUCUGGUGCUGUCACUGCAGCAGCUUGGGUUGCUUCUGUGGCACAGGUUUGAUCCCUGGCCCAGGAACUUUUGUAUGCUGUGGGCACAGCCAAAAAUAUAAAAAUAUAUGGUAUAGUGGUAUCUGUCUGGAAAGACACAUAAAAAACUUGCUCGUGAUGGCUCUCUCUGAGGUGGGAGAGUGGAAGGGUUAGGGUAGGCGGGAGACAUUCUUAACUGUGUGUAGCAUUUUGUACUCUUUGACUUUAAAAAAAAAUGUGCAUAGGAAUUCCCAUCGUGGCUCAGCAGUUAAUGAGCCUGACUAGGAUCGAACCCCCAGCCUCAUGGUUCCUAGUCAUUCCUAGUCGGGUUCGUUUCUGCUGUGCCAUGACGGGAACUCCUGGGACAGAUGUCUUAAUGUUGUAAUGUCUUCUUCCUUCCUGGCUGCCUCAGCUACAGCCUGCUGUGACUUUGAGACACUUCAGCUCAGGUGUGCUGGAGCAUUGAGAGGAUUAAAAUAGUAACAUCAACCAUUGCACAAUUAUUGGGCACAGACCAUGUCCCAGAUAUUGGGGAUUUUUCCAUGGAUUAUUUUAUGUAGUUUUUCAGAGCAAUCAUGUGAGUUAGGUACUGCUAUUAUCCCUAUCUUCCUAGAAGUGCAAGUGAGUUUCAGAAAGGGUAAGUCACCUGCCUAUAGUGACACAGUUAGGAUCAGGUAAAGCCAGGACUUAAACACCCAAGUCCCUGUAUUAAAGCCCUUCCUGUUGGAAAUACUGAAAGUGGUUUUUUGGGGGGGCUUCAAGGAGCUAGAACUCAAAGCCUCUGGCCAAGACAAGAAUUACCCCACCUAUCUCAUUGUAAUGCUCCCUCCCCCACCUCGAGCAAGCUGGCCUCUCCUUCCUGCCCUCUCCUAAGAAAGGUAUGUGGUCCACUCCUCACCUUGCCCCUCCAGGGCCCUCAUAUACCCCCAACCCACCAGCAAGUGUAUCCUAAGACCCCUCUUACCCCAUCCAAUCAGCAGGUCAGCAGAUGUAUCCUAAGACCUCUCCUCUUACCCUGGGCUGUAAAAACAGACACCACCAUGCACCCUGCCCGGGGUGGAGGGGGUCGGAUGGGCUCUCUUGCAUCACCAGGAAGUUGGCCCACUGUGCUAGCAGUGUUUCUUAUCUCAAUAAACUCUUCUUCUUCAUCACCUCGCUAGGCUGGAAAAUUCUUCUUUCUGACCCGCCUGCACAGACCACAACAGUUUCUGUUUUCCUGACUGAACCCUGGCUCGUAGAGUGGAUGUUCAAGAGGAAGCAGUGACCUACGUGCUCAGGGAUUUUGGGGGGAAAUCCGACUGAGGAGGGCUGCUUGAGGACAGCCCUUCCCGGGCAUAUGUAGGGACGUGUGUGAAGGCGUGUGGAUGUCCAGGUCACUCAGGAGCUGUCCUCUUGCUCCUUUACCGCCCCUGCCCAACCAGUCCCUGCUUUGCCUGUGCCCUUCUCACGUGACUACCCAGCCCUCUUAAUCAUGAAACUUAAUCAGUAACUGCCAGUGUGCUUGCCCCCUGCCCCAGCUAGUGAUUGUUCUAAUCUAGCUCCACCUGCUAGUUCAUUAAAGGAAACAUCUGCCCUCAUGUUGGUUGGUAACCGAAGAGGUUGAGAGGGAUGUGCCCCAGCUGCUUGUUUCCCUGGUAAUGGAUGAGCCAACCUGACAUCAAUUCCCUCUAUAAAUGGUAAUCCCCUCCUUUGGGUCCCCUUCCCCUGUAAAUAAACCAAGAAACCAUUAAACU
rnacentral:lncRNA from 1 species